AUCACGCCAUAAUUCAUAAAGCGUUUCCAAAGGCAAAUUGUUCAUCUUUACCAACCGAAUUGUCCUUUCCCUUCUCUCACUAAACAUUUUACUCAUUCAUUGUCGCAAAUACAUUAGUAUUCCUGCACUCACAGGUAUUAUAUUUAUAACCAAGUUACUAUGGAGACAGCACCCAACAUGAUGUGAAGAUUUGCCACGAACAAUACAUUAGAGAUGAUCGAUGAACAAUACAUUAGAGAUGAGCAAUGCGUCUAAACUGACAACGAUGAGGUUGUUGCACAUGCUCUUCUACAAGAAGUCACAAUUUUCAAUUCAAGAACAUCCCCAAUGAUCACAUUCUGGGGAGGAAUACUUGCAAGAUUCCUUUGUCGCCUCAGAUUGGCAUUCUUCUUCAAAUAAGUAUUACGCAGAUUAUUGUUGUAUGACUUGAUUGAGAACAAAUCAAGGAGAUGGAAAUUGGCAGUUUCGCGUUUUAUCUGGUCAGUGCUAUCGGGGCCGAGAAUACCACAAAUUUGUUCGACAGCAAGUUGUCCGCGAGGUUGGUUUAGAGACAAAAGGAUAUCAUUUUAUUGUCUUUCCCUUAUUUUCAUACGUCUUGGAGGUUUAAGUUUGUAAGCGUAAGCUCAAGUGCUCCUGUUUGUUGAAUUUGCCGUCUACUUGAAUAGGAUAUCCAUGUAUACUUCAUUUAUCUCAAUAAUUUUAUUACCUUCUAUUUUGACCACAUGAA